UCGCGCUAUUGGAGCGGCCGAUAUCAGAUUAGCUAGUUGGUGGGGUAAAGGCCUACCAAGGCAACGAUCUGUAGUUGGUCUGAGAGGACGACCAGCCACACUGGGACUGAGACACGGCCCAGACUCCUACGGGAGGCAGCAGUGGGGAAUUUUGGACAAUGGGCGCAAGCCUGAUCCAGCAAUGCCGCGUGCAGGAAGAAGGCCUUCGGGUUGUAAACUGCUUUUGUCAGGGAAGAAAUCUUCUGGGUUAAUACCUCGGGAGGAUGACGGUACCUGAAGAAUAAGCACCGGCUAACUACGUGCCAGCAGCCGCGGUAAUACGUAGGGUGCGAGCGUUAAUCGGAAUUACUGGGCGUAAAGCGUGCGCAGGCGGCUUUGCAAGACAGAUGCGAAAUCCCCG
rnacentral:rRNA from 1 species